rnacentral:lncRNA from 1 species
GUCACGUUGAGGCAGAGAGAUUCUUGCCACAGAGCGUGCCGAUGGACGGUUCAAGAGAGAAUUCCUCGACCAUGAUUGCAGCCACAGCUGCAAGGUGUGUGAUAUACUGUGGUGUGAUCAGAACCUCACACAACUGGACAGUGUGCUCAAUCCGAAACCAAAGCUCGAAUCUAGCAAAACGACCACGAAGUUCGCCUGUUCUGUUGGGUAUGGUAUGAAGAACAUUAUUUAGGUCCUAAGAGAUCAGUCUGGGACUGGUGCGGGCCGCUUCCCUGUCGCGCGUGGCGUGAACACAAAAGUUCUUAUUAAGUCCAAAAAAGGGGUGUCCCACCUGCAAAUUAGGUAUCCGCUGAAUUCUAUCGUCUUUACGGAUCUGAUGACAUCAAGUUUGCACCACGAUAGGACCAAAAAAGGCGCGGAAGCAUUCGAAAAAGACCGACCCACAAAAGCCCACAAGCCUCCUUUGAACUUCGUCGUCGUCCCCUCUCCUGUUGGGCUCCUGGCGUAUUCUUGCGUUCCUCUUGCACUUCGCCUCGGCACCACUGCACUAUUGGACUACGGCAAGCUGAUGCCGCCCGGUGGAGCUUCGUACGGGAACUAUUGCUGCUUUCCUUGUGCCACAACGUCGGAUGAAUGCACAAAAAACCCGGAACGAGCAUUUAUAUAGAGCGAAAUAAACAUUUCCUCAUUU